CUCCGCGUCUCCCUCGCGAACUCGGUGAAAGGAAUUGGCGCCGUUCGACACCAGGCGGGUCUGCUCUGCAGCACGAACCCACCUCCAGCCGCAGCCUCCGCCGCAGCCUCCGCCGCAGCCUCCGCCUGGGCCGAGAAGCCGCCGCAGCAGCCGCCACUCGUGGCCGAGAGAGCGGAGCCGAAUUUGAGCCAGCGCCUAGCGGUGAAUCGGGGUCUCACCAUGAGUUCCUCGCCUGUUAAUGUAAAAAAGCUGAAGGUGACGGAGCUGAAGGAGGAGCUGAAGAAGCGGCGCCUCUCCGACAAGGGCCUCAAGGCCGACCUCAUGGAGCGGCUCCAGGCCGCGCUGGACGACGAGGCCGGGGGCCGCCCCGCCAUGGAGCCCGGGAACGGCAGCCUCGACCUGGGCGGGGAUUCCGCCGGCCACUCCGGAGCGGGCCUGGAGCAGGAGGCCGCGACCGGCGGCGACGAGGAGGAAGAGGAGGAGGAGGAAGGGGUCGCCGCCUUGGAUGGCGACCAGAUGGAGGUAGGGGAGGAGGAGGAGGCCGCCUCGGAAGGCGAGAACGGCGACGACCAGGGCUUCCAGGAAGGCGAGGACGAGCUCGGGGAGGAGGAGGAAGCCGCGGGCGACGAGAACGGCCACGGCGAGCAGCAGGCUCAACCGCCGGCGACGCCGCAGCAACAGCCCCAGCAGCAGCGCGGGGCCACCAAGGAGGCCGCGGCGAAGAGCGGCCCCACCUCGCUUUUCGCGCUGACGGUGGCGCCGCCCGGGGCGAGGCAGGGCCAGCAGCAGGCGGGAGGAGACGGCAAAACAGAGCAGAAAGGCGGAGAUAAAAAGAGAGGCGUUAAAAGACCUCGAGAAGAUCAUGGCCGUGGAUAUUUUGAGUACAUUGAAGAGAACAAGUACAGCAGAGCCAAAUCUCCUCAACCACCUGUUGAAGAAGAAGACGAACACUUCGAUGACACGGUGGUUUGUCUUGAUACUUAUAAUUGUGAUCUACAUUUUAAAAUCUCGAGAGAUCGCCUUAGUGCUUCUUCCCUUACCAUGGAAAGUUUUGCUUUUCUUUGGGCUGGAGGAAGAGCAUCUUAUGGAGUGUCUAAAGGCAAAGUCUGUUUUGAGAUGAAGGUUACAGAGAAGAUCCCAGUAAGACACUUAUAUACAAAAGAUAUUGACAUACAUGAAGUUCGGAUUGGCUGGUCACUAACCACAAGUGGAAUGUUGCUUGGUGAAGAAGAAUUUUCUUACGGAUAUUCUUUAAAAGGAAUAAAAACUUGCAACUGUGAGACUGAAGACUAUGGAGAGAAGUUUGAUGAAAAUGAUGUUAUUACAUGUUUUGCUAACUUUGAAAGUGAGGAAGUAGAACUCUCCUAUGCUAAGAACGGACAAGAUCUUGGUGUUGCCUUCAAAAUAAGUAAGGAAGUUCUUGCUGGACGGCCGAUCUUCCCACAUGUUCUCUGCCACAACUGUGCAGUUGAAUUUAACUUUGGUCAGAAGGAAAAGCCAUAUUUCCCAAUUCCUGAAGAGUACACUUUUAUCCAGAACGUCUCCCUAGAGGAUAGAGUUAGAGGACCAAAAGGACCUGAGGAGAAGAAAGAUUGUGAAGUUGUUAUGAUGAUUGGCUUGCCAGGAGCUGGAAAAACUACCUGGGUUACUAAACAUGCAGCAGAGAAUCCUGGUAAAUACAAUAUUCUUGGAACAAAUACCAUUAUGGAUAAAAUGAUGGUGGCAGGUUUUAAGAAGCAAAUGGCCGAUACUGGAAAAUUGAACACAUUGUUGCAGAGAGCUCCACAAUGUCUUGGGAAGUUUAUUGAGAUUGCUGCCCGCAAGAAGCGGAAUUUCAUUCUGGAUCAGACAAAUGUGUCUGCUGCUGCCCAGAGGAGAAAAAUGUGCCUCUUUGCUGGCUUCCAACGAAAGGCUGUGGUGGUUUGCCCAAAAGAUGAAGACUAUAAGCAAAGAACACAGAAAAAAGCAGAAGUAGAGGGGAAAGAUCUCCCAGAACAUGCAGUCCUCAAAAUGAAAGGGAACUUUACUCUGCCAGAGGUAGCUGAGUGCUUUGAUGAAAUAACCUAUGUUGAACUUCAGAAGGAAGAAGCCCAGAAACUUUUGGAGCAAUAUAAAGAAGAAAGCAAAAAAGCUCUUCCACCAGAAAAGAAGCAGAACACUGGAUCAAAGAAGAGCAAUAAAAACAAGAGCGGCAAGAACCAAUUUAAUAGAGGCGGCCAUAGAGGACGAGGUGGUUUUAACAUGCGUGGUGGAAACUUCAGAGGAGGAGCUCCUGGUAACCGUGGUGGAUAUAAUAGAAGGGGCAAUAUGCCACAGAGAGGUGGUGGUGGUGGUGGAAGCGGUGGAAUUGGCUAUCCAUACCCUCGUGGCCCUAUUUUCCCAAGCCGAGGUGGUUAUUCAAACAGAGGGAACUACAACAGAGGUGGAAUGCCCAACAGAGGGAACUACAACCAGAACUUCAGAGGACGAGGAAACAAUCGUGGCUACAAAAAUCAAUCUCAGGGCUACAACCAGUGGCAGCAGGGUUCUGUCCAUGUGAAUGUGCUGUGUGGAAGAGUAAAAGGGCCCAACUAAAUGUGUUCCUGUGAUUCUAAUAGGUACUUAAUAUUAAUUGCUGCUUGUACAUCUCUUAACACUUGCUGCUGUUGAGCUUUCAGGGUCAUCUGUAGCUUCCCUUAUUUUUUGAUUCUUGCCAAGGCUUCACACUCUAGCCAUAUUUCUUUCUUCAUGUGGAGAAACCAUAUAGCACUGAAUCUUAACCAACUUUUCUUGUAAGAUGACCAAGAGGAAAAUUGUCAAAAACCAAGUUUGGUAUGUCUUAAGAACUUGGUUUCACAAAAUUUGUACUUGGACUAAAUCCUAGUAGCUUACAUAGAGUUGGAAAAUAGUUGCAGUCCUUUUGGAUAGCAAACCGAUGAAACCCAUGCCAAAGUAAAUAAAAUCAACUAAGAUGUAAUCUUUAAAUUGUAUAAAGGCAUAGUGUGAACUAUGUGGUGCAGACAUUUCUUAUUGCCCUGAAAUUACUUAACAAAUUUAGGCACUGAAUUUUGGUCUUAACAUUCUAAAAGUUGUGAGAGAAUAUUUGGGUGCUGUACCAUAAAUAGGACUGUUUCUGGGCACACUUAGAAGAGUGUAGUGGCUACUAAAGAAUAGCCACCUCAGUUUCAGAGGAAAGGGUAAACAACUUCAGAAGUAAACUUUGAAUUUAGAUAGCAAGGCAUGUGUUUCACUUCACAGUCCUGAGAAGAUUGCAUGCUUUAAAGAGAAUAGGUUGAACACCUGAGGGCAAACUACAUGUAAUGAUUGAUUUAAAAAAAUGGAAUAGGUAACACCUAAAUUGAUAAAAAAAAAUUUUUAAAGUGAACAGAGACCUUUUAAGAUAAGUACCUUAUUGAUGAAUGUCAUUGAAAAGACUGUUAACACUGACCUAAAGUGUUCUUACUAACAAAUUCAGAAAUAUUCACCUCUUAACAGUUUCUUUUAAAAAGUAUUUAAAGAUGGAUCUUAAUUAUGAAAUAAGCUGUAAGCUACCAAUAUUUGGGUGACAGAAGAUGUUACACUGACCUGAUUGAUGACCACUGGACUAUAUCUUAAGAUAUAUUUAAAACUACAUUAUAGAGAACCAUUAAAAACUAGAAUUACAGCAAUCGUUUUAUAAUUUUUCUACUUUCCUCAUUAAGGUUUUCUGCUUACCCAGAGUAUAGUGUUUACCUUAUUAUGACCUUUUAAGGGGCACCAUGACCCCCAUCUGGCAGAGAUUUUUAUCUAAGAAUAGAAGGAUUCAAACUUUAUUUGAUCCCUAGCUCUUUGCUGAAAAGUGCAUAAACAGGAAUCCUGAAUAUAUUAUAUAGACCUCCUCGCAUUAUAUAAUCGAAGCAAAGGGAAACCAGCGAUGGAGUAGAGGUACGUAGACUAAAGAGGUGCUUGCAAAUCAAAUAUGGAACUAGGGAUAGUUAAAAUGUCCUGUUGCCAAAUUUGGUCAAUAUAAUCACAAGUUCAGGAAAAAGUUACUUUUAGAUGCCCUGAGGUCCUUUGAGAUAUAAAAUAAGGAAAACCUAAUAAUGGGAGGGGUGAGGGAAGGGGAUAUGCAUAAAGCACUGGAAAGAUUUAACAAGAUAGAUAAUAAGCUGCAAUUUUUUUAAAAAGCUAAUAACACACUUCUAUUUUAAUCAGCUAUUUAGCUGGUACCUACUGCAAUAUCACCUAGUGUGAAAUGGACCAAUGAAGAAAGGUCAGCUGAGAAGGCUCCAAGUAGACAUGGAAGGUAGAUCUCCAGUCUCCUGUGAAAAGAAGCUGAACUUGUUAUUGAAGGCCUUGGGAAGUUUCUUUACCAGGCAAGAGGUUUCUCUUACUCAGGGUAAGAUGGUAAUUGUACUAUGCUAGAGAGUAGCUAGGAAGGAACAUAAACUACUUAAUCCAGUUCCCCAGUUUUGCAUGUUUGCUUACUGAAGCUAGAACAGAAGUAGACCAAGAGCUUUAUUUUAAAUAUACCUGAUCAACACUUACCAAUUUCCAACUUAAGUGGUGCUGUCCUAAAAUUGAGUAACUCAAACUGAAAAGUAAUUUUAAACAAUUUGGUCAUAAUUAAGAGUGGUGGCCAGAUGAUCUUGUAAAUUUUGCCUUUGCCUUUCUAAUACUCUUUCUUAAUGUCAUCCUUUGGCCCCCAGACGUCUUUGACAUUGUUAGUCCCUAGCAGUUUGGGCAUUUUGUAAACCACACAGACCUUGCACCUAAAUCCUCAUGACAGCCAUAGGAGGAAGACAAAGGAGAGAAAUUUGUUCCUUCUUGUGAACUGAAGUGAAACAAAACCCAUCUAUCCUUGGAAUAAGGAUAUAGAACAAAUGCUUCAAGAGAUCUCUUGGCUCUAUUUCUCUAGGGCACUGUGAGAGGACUGGUAGUAAUGACUGGUCCUGGCCACUGGUGUCCUAUUUCUUAGGAGCUUGUCCUACUGAGAAUUUUCUGUUACAUUAAAACCAAAACCAUUAUUUCAUUGCUUUAAAAGGGAGAAUAUUUGAAUGAAUAAACAUUACUGACUUGGG